rfam:Schistosoma mattheei strain Denwood, Zambia genome assembly, scaffold: SMTD_scaffold0011994
GCACUGCUGAGGAGUCCCACAAUAGGACCAAAUGGCCAUCCAGUGC